CCUACGGGAGUCAGCCGUAGGGAAUAUUGCUCAAUGGGGGAAACCCUGAAGCAGCAACGCCGCGUGGAGGAUGAAGGUUUUCGGAUUGUAAACUCCUUUUGUUAGAGAAGAUAAUGACGGUAUCUAACGAAUAAGCACCGGCUAACUCCGUGCCAGCAGCCGCGGUAAUACGGAGGGUGCAAGCGUUACUCGGAAUCACUGGGCGUAAAGAGGGCGUAGGCGGGAUAGCAAGUCAGAUGUGAAAUCCUAUGGCUUAACCAUAGAACUGCAUUUGAAACUGUUAUUCUAGAGUAUGGGAGAGGUAGGUGGAAUUCUUGGUGUAGGGGUAAAAUCCGUAGAGAUCAAGAGGAAUACUCAUUGCGAAGGCGACCUGCUAGAACAUAACUGACGCUGAUGCGCGAAAGCGUGGGGAGCAAACAGGAUUAGAUACCCGAGUAGUC
rnacentral:rRNA from 1 species